GAACUUUUGUGUUACUUGUACAUGUGGAUUAUACAAACAGGUACUUACGUUUUUGGGAGGUAUAGUCGAAUUUAAACCCAAUCACAUUGUAUGUUUUUAUCAAGUCAAUCAAACAAAAUAUUUGUUUUACCUCAAUUUUAUUAGGGGACUCACGUGUUUGUUUAAUCUGACUUCUUAGUGACCAGUAUUGUAAGUGAAUCCUGUAAUCCCCAUCAGCCAUAAUGGUGCUUUAUCACUUUCACUGUUUACGAACUUUCAUUUAGUUAACCAUGUGUCAACUAGCUACAUACUCC
rnacentral:lncRNA from 1 species